UUCACUGGGUUUUGUGUUGUUUUUUUUAUUGCAGCACUAAUUCAAAGGAAUAACCUGUCAUCAGGCUUUGUAUAUUCCCUCCCACUUCCCCUCUUUUAUUUUAUGUCCCACUGAAAUUCCUACUGGAUUCGUUAAUUAGGCUAUCUAUUUUGGUAUGGCUCUAUCAACAAAAUACCACCCAACCCAAAUUUUGUAGGAAGAGAGAAAGAUCUC
rnacentral:lncRNA from 1 species